CACAUUGAGUACCAAAAUAAAAUGAGGUGUGAAUAGAAGCCCUCAAUAUUAAUAAGUAAACCUUAUCUACAAAAUCUAACCAAAUAACUCUGAAUCAGUUCUCAACACAGCACAAUAAUUUAGGUGGGAAUUACAAAUUUAGAAUGCAACAUUUGGAUUCCGAUUCUCCUCCCACACCGCCGCCAACCGCCAGCUCCCUUGGCAAAAUCGGCGUAGCAGUCAACCUCUCCGACGAGGACGCAUAUGCCGUCAGCUGGGCGGUUAAGCACUACCUCCGACAAGGCGUUGUCCUUUUCCACGUCUGCACUACUACUCACGACCACGCCACCUCCACCGCCAACAACCACCACAGCGACGAGAUGACGAAGAUUAAAAACUAUUUUCACAUAUGUAUACAAUUUCCAAAGUGAAGGAUUUCGCGGAACCUUUACGCCAGGCGAAGAUUCCUUACAGCAUCCACAUUGUGAUGGAUCGCGAGAUAAAGGAGCGUCUCUGCUUGGAAAUCAGCGGUAUCAAUCUCAUCGCACUCGUCAUUGGAUGCCGCAGAAGCGUCAGUUACUACUGUGACCUCCAUUGCGUAUGCCCUGUCGUAGUAGAAGGACGCGGAAGAAGAUGUAGUCUCCACUGCUAAUUCUGUAGUUGGAAACAUCGCCGGAAGCUCCGUGGCUGAAAUCAACACAGCCAAUUCCGUCUUGCUGCCGACCAAGGAAACCUAUGUGGAAGAAAUUGAGGAGAUUUUGCGUCUAUAUAAAGAAGAUCAACUUAGCAGAGGCGACCUCAAAGAACUCAUUGAUAGAGUCUACGAUCAAAUCCUAGAAGAGGAGCUUAUGGACAAUACUGAUCAAGAACUCCUGAUGAAUUUACUUGAGAAUGAGAGGCGACAACAGUCCCAUACCUCCAUUAGGCACAAACGUGCAAAGCAUAGACAUACAUGAAAAGGAUGUCAUCAGAGCACGUCUUUGAAGUGAGACAACUUGAAAAUCCAGUAGAUAAGUUUGCAGUCAAUUUGAAGAAACAUCUAUACUCCUGCAGAAGAUGGAAACUCACAAGUCUUCCUUGUGUUCAUGCACUUUCAACUAUGAAGAGUAGAAAUCAUAAGGUUGAUGACUAUAUUCUUGAGUAUUACAGGAAAUCAAGAUAUAUGGCAGUCUACAAACAUGUGAUUUAUCUUGUAAAUGGAUCAAAUAUGUGGGUUAGAACAGAGUAUCAUGAUUCGCAACCAUCUAAGUAUAAGAAAAUGCUUGAAAGAUCAAACAAGAUGAGGGAUUUUGAGCAAAGAGAUUGAUGGCUCUGAUCGUAAAAUGAGAAGAACUGGUUUCACUGUCAAGUGCAGUAGGUGCGUAGAGCAAGGAGAGAUUGAUGGCUUUGAUCGCAACUAGAUUUGGUGCAGCCAAGAAUGCAGCUGGGUCAACAACAAGAAGGACUACACCAACAAAGGGAACCACGCCAAAGAAGAAAAUUCUGUUGGCAGUUGAACUCAGUUUAAGUUAUAAUUUAGUUUAAGAUUGAACCUCUGUCCUUAUGCAGUGUGUUUUAGAUAUGUAAUGUGUUUUGAACCUAUGUUGUUAUGCAGAAUAUGUCAUGUGUUUUGAAUAUAUAUUGUAAUGUAGAAUAUUAGUGGUAUACACCACAUAUUAGUAAUGUGUUUUCGUAUAAA